rnacentral:rRNA from 1 species
GUGAGGAAUUUUCCGCAAUGGACGAAAGCCUGACGGAGCAAUGCCGCGUGAAGGAUGAAGGCCUAUGGGUUGUAAACUUCUUUUCUCAGAAAAGAAUUAUGACGGUAUCUGAGGAAUAAGCAUCGGCUAACUCUGUGCCAGCAGCCGCGGUAAGACAGAGGAUGCAAGCGUUAUCCGGAAUGAUUGGGCGUAAAGCGUCUGUAGGUUGUUUAAAAAGUAUUCUGUCAAAGAUUAGGGCUUAACCCUAGAUAGGCAGAAUAAACUUUUAAGCUAGAGUUUGGUAGAGGCAGAGGGAAUUCCCGGUGGAGCGGUGAAAUGCGUAGAUAUCGGGAGGAACACCAAAGGCGAAGGCACUCUGCUGGGCCAAUACUGACACUGAGAGACGAAAGCGAGGGGAGCAAAUGGGAUUAGAUACCCGAGUAGUCC